UACGAGGGAGAAGAAGCGAGCGGAUAUGUCGGCGCGCCCAAGAACAUCUGCGGCCACCCGCCGCCCGCAACGCCAUAAAACGCCGACCAGCUACAAACCCGCUCCCUGCCAUACCAGCUAGCUUGGAAGGGGAUGCUCGGAGGAGGGGGAAGCAUGGGUGCGCCACCGGAUGCGGCGAUAGGAUAAGCCCUAGCGAGAUUGACAGCCUUGGGCGUCGGGGGUACGGAUGCUCCACCGCAGGCGCCGCCGCCGCCGCCGCCGCCGCCCAUGGAGGUAUCUGUUUGGGAGAGGUCAAGAAAGGUUUGCCAGUCAACAGCCACAGGGCGAAUGGACAGGGAUAGUACUACCUCCCCAAAGCCAAGGCGCGGAGGCAAAAAUUCGAGGCACGGGGCGCGCGCGGGGCAAAAUACAUGCGCCCGGACUCGGACUGCAGGGAAGUGAACGGGGCUCUUCCCCCUCCCCCUCGUCGAGGCCUGCUUGCACGAGCGUCAAGCCGGAGUUAAUCGACCUGGCCGGAAAAAUCUUGGUCGUUUCUGCGUUCAUGGCUGAUCGGUCAGAUACUCCUGAUGCGCCGGCGCCACCAUGCGGGGUUCAGAGCCGGAGAUGAGUUUUGCCAAACAACCGAGAGUCCAUCUCGCACUGAAAUGUUUUGAGUUUUCUAUGCAUCCUCUGAGGAAGAAGGAAGAUAUACCUGUCGUCGUCGUCAGAACUCAGAAAGCCUGAUGGGCCUUGUUGAUCGCCCCCGCGAACUUGUGUGAUUCAGACUUCCAGAACGUUUGCGGCAACCAAAGUUGGAGUGCCAAACAACGAACACUGUUAAAGACUGUUUGCAGAAUCUGAACCCAGUUAGAUAUUCGUACAUCGAGCUAGAUUUCCUGAGUGUAUACAACAGUAUAUUCUUUUUUUCUGCAUUUCCGAAGGGAGAUAUUCAGAGCUACAUUUACAUCACACCUGCCUGAAUGAUCCAUGCUUAAUUGAAUAGCUUUUGAUUUUUCUUUUCUUGCU